GCCGCGUCUGUAACCGCCGGAGCCCCGCCCCGACGGCCCCUCGGGCGGGGCGGGAGAGCGACGCACCGCCCCUCACCCAUCACGUGAACGCCGAGGAGGACGCCCUGGGCUGUGGCCAGCUCGGGUUCCGGUCCCCGGGGCUUCCUGAACACCAGCAGCUUCAACAUCCAGCAAAGAGAGAGAUUUCCGAGGCACAGUCCAUCCUGGGAACUGUGGCCCAAUGCUUGACCCUGCAGGCAUCACCAUUACCAACCAGCAGCUUAUCCCCAGAACAUGGAUGCAAUGUAAAAACCUUUCUGCUGUACAAGGCCUAUGUAGAAAAGGGAAAACAUGGAAACUGGCACCGAAGAAUCAGCUGCCAGGGGAAGAAAGCGAAUGUUCGCUCUCUGGGUCCAGCACAGAACAAAGUGCUGCAGGAGAGAAGCCAACACAUUCUCCUUAAAACUUGAGGCUGGAACCCAACCCAUCAUCCUGGACUGUAACUAGCAUACUAAGGCCAUCAGAAUAGUGACACCAGAGGAGAGAGGAUCAUAAGAACUGACCGUGGAAAUGGACUACCAGCCCAGGACAAUCUCUCUCCAGACUUUUUUUAUGUAAGAAAAAAAAUAAACUCUUUU